rnacentral:lncRNA from 1 species
ACAGGUAAAUUAGAUAAGCCUACAGGCGUUGAGUGGACAUUCUUCGUCUUCUUAGUCUCUCAGCUACGAUGAAGGAAAGUUCAAGAGACUGAGAAGCAUUCAAUCUUGGAUCACAAUGAGUGUGGUAGCGAGAGCCCAAAUCGUCAUAGGUUACUGUUCGUGAUCCACCAAUGCACUCAGUCACAUUUUGCCCCGUCAUUUCUAGGUGAAUACCACCAGGGUGGCUUCCUUCUUGCUCAUGCACAUCGAAGAAAGCUCGGACCUCAGCCUGACAGUUUAGCACAUUAUGACAUUCAGAUAUGAACAUUAAACUUUUAGAUAAAAAAAUAGAAACUACUGAAAUCUCAGUCUGUCUAAAAUUCAACCACAUAAAAGUAUUUUCAGUUUUUAUCGUGGCAUUAAGCCUCAAACAAUCUACCACCAGGCAAGCACAUGUACAUACACUUUCUACUAAGAGUCUCUGAACAGGUCAAUAUCUAGCAGAAACAUCUCUCGUUUCAUGGGGAAGCAGCCACCUCUAUCCAUAUAACUUCUAAGAAUCAUAAAAAGGAUGCAGAGAUGAAACAUACCAGGAUUGAAUCGAAAGCACGGGUUUUGAGUCCACAUGGUGCCUUGAUGGUAUUCCCGUGCAUUGGAUCACAAACCCAUGUCACAAUCUGACCAGCUCCUCGUACUGCCCUGACCAAGUGGGAAAGUUUCACUCUCAUGUUCUCAGCACCCAUUCUAACAAUUACAGUUAUUCUUCCAGGCUUAUUGGCAGGGUUCAGGAUGUCAAUGAGCUUAAUUAGCUCAUUUGGAUCCAUUUUUUGACUCACCUGCAACAAAACCUCCAUCUUUAGGCAACUAACAUAAACAGCAUUGGCUAAGGAAACUGGGUAAGAUCUCAAAAUUAGCACAACUGAGUUAAAAGGAGCUGAAAAUGCAUUUAUAAUGGUAAAUAUACAUAUGUACAAUAACAGGUAAAUCAUUUUGAUUAAUAUUACGAGAGGUAAACAUAAAAUGGUGCUUAGAUAGAUACAUCAGGCAUAAAUGAAGAAAUCAUAGCCACAGCUUAUAUUUCUCAGUCACCAUAGAUGUCCAACUCCAAGGCACAAUUAAGAAUUUUAUAAAACAUAAAUGUGGUGUGCUUUAGAAGGUUACGCAUGGAAAUGGGUCUCACAUUUUGGUUUAAUGGUAAGAUUCUUGCUUAAGAGUGAAAAUUGGUGAGUGAAAAUUGGUGCCCCGAGAAGAUAAGGGGAAAUCAGAAAGUAAAAGGAAUGAUUAGAGAUGCAUAAAUUCUAAAUUUUGUUUUCCUCUACUAAGAUUUUCCUUCAUUGUUAGAUAAGUCGAGCAGCCUAAUGCGUCGAGCAAUGAAUAAGCUGUGAUUAGUAAUACUCCUGUUAGCCUAUCGCACUACAACUGCUUUAAGCUAUCCAUACCUUUAUGCCAAGAGGGUUUGCAACUCCUCUCAAAAACUCGACAUGAGCACCGUCUAGUUGCCUGGUUCUUUCCCCAACCCAAACCAUGUGAGCAGAACAAUCAUAGAAAAGACCAGAAGUUGAAUCCUCCCUUGUAAGUGCUUGUUCAUAAGGAAGAAGCAAGCACUCGUGGGAUGUCCAGAAAUCAGUUGUUGACAUGAUAGGGUGGUCAACUGUGAGUCCAGCAGCAGCCAUGAAUCCUAAGGCUUCAUCAACCCUGUGAGCUAGUUCCUGAUACCUGCAAAUCAUUCCCCAAUAUAAAACAUAUUAGACUUAAAAUUGUCUGAUUAAUCCAAUCUGCAUGGCUGAAUAUACAACUGAAAUUGACACUCGAUGUCGUCACGACAAAGCCGGACACUUCAGGCGAAAUCUUUAAAAUGAUACACCAAGCAUAACCAUGGAACUCAUUCCAAUUUUUCAUCUCCUAAAAGACAUUUGGCAGCAACAUAAAACAAGAUUGACUGCUGAAGCAAAGAAUCUGCAGUAAAACUUAAUUAAAGAUUGUGAUUUGUCAUACCUAUCUCCCUGCUCACAGUUCUCCACAAAAUCAAGAUUCCAUUCGGUGACCCGCUGCAUUGCAGCAUAACCUCCAGUAGCAAAAGCUCUAAGAAGAUUAAGAGUCGCAGCAGAUUGCAUGUAUGCCCUAAUAAGCCUAUGAGGAUCCGGAAUUCUUGACUUCUCAUCAAAUGUAUCACCAUUGAUAUUGUCACCCUUGUAACUUGGUAGCUUCACUCCAUUUAUCUCCUCAAACGGAUCUGAUCUUGGUUUUGCAAACUGACCCGCCAUUCUUCCAACCUACAAUUAACCAUGUAACAAUUUAAGCUUAAAGCCGUGAUCUUUUUUCAAUCAAGAAGCUCAUUAUAAUGAUCUGUGUUUUAUCUAUUCAAGAUCCUAAAUAAUCUACAACUCAAUCCACUUGAGUAUAGCAAAUAUAUGCACAUUCAGAUCAAAACUGUAUUGAGUUUUCUUUAGUUUACGAACCACGUUAUGUAGGAACAACUAUAGUUGUACAAUCUCUAGAUAUCAAACAGAACUCUAGCUUGACAUAGAAUAUAAGCAUAAACUACACUAUGACAGGUACAAUAGGAGCACAAUUUUCACACACACCCAUAAAAAUAAGAAUCAAGAAUCAGCAGAACACACAUAUUAGAACAUCAAAACACAGAAUUUGGAAUUGGGGUCAUAAAAAUCAAAUCUUUAUCACCUUAAUCACAGGAACAAUCAGCAAAACACGCAUAUUAGCACAUCAAAACACAGAAUUUGAAAAUGGGGUUCAUAAAAAUCAAAUAUUUAUUACCUUAAUCACAGGAACUUGUCCACCAAACAUAAGAACAACACUCAUCUGAAGCAAAAUCCUAAAAGUAUCACGAAUAUUAUUGGCAUUAAAUUCCUUAAAACUCUCAGCACAAUCUCCACCUUGUAACAAAAAAGCUUUCCCCAAUGCAGCCUCACCAAGCUUCUCUUCCAAACUCCUUGCCUCACCAGCAAACACAAGUGGUGGAUUCAUUUCAAGUGUUUUAAGCACAGAUUCAAGUUCUUUCUCAUCUGGGUAUGCAGGAAGUUGCAAAGCUUUCUUUGUUUUCCAGCUAUCAAGACUCCAUUUUCCUUGCUUAACUGCAGUCUUGGAUGGCUCCGCCGCAUGUACGGCGGAGAUGGGGUGGCGCCGCCCAUGUUGGGUGGUCGGAAAAAGGGAAAAACGAGGUUGGGGUAAAGGGUUAUGGAGAAGAUGAGAUUGAACAAGGGAUUUUGAUGAUGACAAUGAUGAGGUGUUUGAUAAAGCCAUGAUUAUUUUUUAGCUUUUGAUGAUUCUUGAAUCCUCUUUUUUCUCUCACUAUAAAAAAGACAAACUUUUUUAGAGAGAGAAAGGGGAAGAGGUAUCAAUGGAGGACGAGAUCUAAAGGGGCAUUUUAGGAUUAUUUAUAUUCCUAACUUUUUGGGCAAUUUGAGUGUACAUUCCAUCGAGAGUCUUGAUGCAAUUGAUAAAGUUAAUGUCACGUAAUUAUAAAAAUAUAUAUUCGAUAAUCCUUUUCAUCAAUUAAGUAAGAUUAGGUAUAAAUUACGAUGUUUCGACCAUUUUCUAAAUUGCAUGCAUAAUGAAAGCUUAUAUUUAUAUACCUAAUUUAUCGGGAAAUGAGUGAGUAUAAUUUAUCGAAAGUCUUGACGUAAUUGAUUAGAAUAUCGUGAGUUUUAAGUUGUGAAAUAAGCUCUUCAGAAAUAUAAGUAAGAUUAGAUACGAAAUAUUUUAAAUACUUAUUUUUCGACCAUUUUUUAAACGAUAUGCAUAACGGAAGCUUAGUUUAUCAAUUGUAUUUUUUUUAUUUUGCAAGUGAGAUCAUGGUGAGUAGGUGUAGAAUUGGUAGUUGUGAGAGGCAUUUUGGUAAAUAAGUUGUGAAAUUGGACCACAAAAGAUAGGAGAGUCGGUUUGGUAUUUUGUUUAACUCAUUUGUGAUAAUUGCACUUUUGGUACCUCAAUUAUUAAUAAAUAUUAGUUUUGAUUCUAAUAAUAUUGUCAAGUCGUUAAUUAUCGGUUGUGUAUUAGAUAAACUCGUUCUUAAGCAAUAGCUUGCAAAUCAUACAAGAAAUAUAAAUCUUACUAUACAAGUCUAGUACGAUAAGUUUGAAUGAAAAGACGUUAUAGCAGAGGGAAUUACUCUCUAGUGUUUUUUUUUAUGAAUACUACAUAUUGCGCCAAUUCAAUUAUCUUCAUGAACAUGUUCCGUUAGGUAUAGUUAGUCUUAAAUUAGUUCAAUAGAAUAUUUAGGUUGAUUUUAGGUUAUGAGUUUUUAUAGGAAUACCAAAAAGUUAUAGUAGAAUGAUAAUUUAUUUAUUUUUUUAUCUUAAUUAAAGAUCUUGAAUUCAAGCUUUAUAAAAUUACAGUUAUCUUUGAUAAAAAAAACGUUUAUUCUUCAAAAUAAAAUUUUACAAAAUAAAUAUAAAUUAUAUCAAAUCUCAAAACGAAUGCAAAAAAAAAUGAAAGUGUGUUUGAUGUCCAAACUUUCUUGUCCUUUUUGUGUCUCCUAUCUUUUUCAUUGCCAGAGAAGACAACGAAUUGUGUCCUUCAUUUUGAGCUAAACAUUUGAUUGAUUAAAUAUAUUGCAACGUUGUAAUAAUUAGUUCCAUAGAUUUUGUGGACAGGUAGGUAUGUAAGGGUGAAUCUAUCGUAUCAAGUGUGAAUUUUCGAAAAUUUAAUAAUUUUUAUUCAAAUUUUAUGUCUACAUAAUCAUUAUAUAAAAUAAUUUUUUGGACAAUAUACAAGGAGUGAGAUUGGAGAAUAUAAUAAGUAUGUAUUCCUUAAGAUUUGUUUGAAUUUAGAAUAUUUAUUCUCCACCAAUGUGGAUUGUAAUAGAAUAGUAAUAAAUAUGUAUUCAUCCUUAAUUAGAGGUUUCAAAUUCGAAUUUUAAAUAAUAUGCCUUUUUUUUAAAGAGUAUUUCGUUCUUGAUUGUGAAAAGCAAAUUUAAAUUUAGGCAAAAUCCGAAAAAAUCUUUCGUUAAUAUAGUGCUGACAAAACUUUAUACCCCCAAUGGGUCAUAAUUAGCAUGUUUUUUUUUUGCAUGAAAUUUUGCAAGUCCUAUAAAGAAGAUUUCUCCAAUGUUGAAUUAUUAUUAUUAUAUUAUUAAUAAUCAUAAUAAAAAUCUUUGCUUAAAACCAAGAAAGUUGCCUUCAUAAUUCAUAGUGAAAAUUACGUGAUUAGGCAAGCAUAUACUAGUUAAUUAAUUAUCAUAGAUAUAUAUUUUGCUAAUUAUCGCUCACGACUAAUAUUUAGUGAUAAUUAUGUGGGCUGAAGUUUCAAAUUUGUAUAAUUCGAAAUUUGUAUAGUAUACUUUGUAUAACUGUUAUAUAAUGUAAUUUGUAUAAUUGUUUUAAAGUUCAGUUGUUUGUGUUUGUAUCAGUUCUUUAUUUUGAAUUUAUACAAAAAUAGCUCAAUUAUAUAAAUUCACCCGCAAAUUAUAUAAAUGAGAUAACUUAAACUAUAGCUACAACUCAUAAAUAUGCAAACUAUAUCUAUAAAGCAUAAUCAAAUUUAUUAUAAUGACAAUUUGCGAAUAUUCUCCUAAUUCAUAUUAUAUAUAAAAAAAAAGAGUAUAAAAUCAUAAAGAUUGAUAAGGUAUCUUUGUGGUUGAUAGGUCUUUUGGACCAGUUGAGUCAUGGUCCUCAUAUCUGGAAUAAUCCCAAGAAUCUACCAUCCAACUACCCUUUUAAAUUAUUUGGCUUUUCAAUCAUUGAAAAGGUUUCAAUAAUAUAUAUGAGCCGGCUUGCGGAUACGUCGAUUAAUUUUACAGGAUACGUGUUAUCUAUCACAAGUAACACGUAUCAAAUAAAGUUAUGUUCUCCAAACACAAGAAAAUAGAAAAUUGGCAUUUGCAAAUUAGUUAACACCUAAAAAUACUUAGGUUAGUGAUCAUGUGGUUAGGACUUAGAUAAGUGGAUAUUAGUCACUUCAUUAACCAAUAAUGUGACCAAAUACAUGUGACUAUGGAGAUAAUUAUGUUUAACUAAAUUAAUCUGAUAUUUACAUUUUUGUAAUAAGUACCUACAAAAUAUUUGUUAAGCUAAUUAUUAUCAACUACUAGUAUUUUCAAUAUUUUACUUUUAGAGAGAAACCACAUAUACACAAAGAAGGGGGAAGGGUGUAACUUGUAAGGCUUGCUUCCUUAUAUACCCAACACGUCUCUCGUAUUCUGUAUAUGCGGGAUUCACAUAGGGUAUAUAAAACAGAAAAUAUAAUAACUCUUCAUUUUCUUUUUCAAGUUUCCAAGUCAAAAAGAUUAGUAAAAGUGUAUAAAAACAUUAAUCAAAAUCACUUAUAUUUAUUCAGACUUAAGUUCUAGUAACACUACUCAAACUACUAUGAGGGGAUGGAUGGAAACUCAGUUUAUUGGAUACUAAGAGAUCAAGACUGCAGACUAAACGCCUACACGCGUUGAGUAGCCAUUCUUCGUCUUCUUAGUCGUUCAGCUACAUUGAAGGAAAGUUCAAGAGAUUGAGAAGCAUUCAGUCUCGGAUCACAAUGUGUGUGGUAGCGUGAGCCCAAAUCAUCGUAGGUUACUGUUCUUGAUCCGCCAAUGCAUUCAGUCACAUUUUGCCCUGUCAUUUCUAGAUGAAUACCACCAGGAUGGCUCCCUUCUUGCUCAUGCACAUCGAAGAAAGCUAGGACCUCA